ACACAUGCAAGUCGAACGAAGCACUUAUCUUUGAUUCUUCGGAUGAAGAGGUUUGUGACUGAGUGGCGGACGGGUGAGUAACGCGUGGGUAACCUGCCUCAUACAGGGGGAUAACAGUUAGAAAUGACUGCUAAUACCGCAUAAGACCACGGAGCCGCAUGGCUCCGUGGGAAAAACUCCGGUGGUAUGAGAUGGACCCGCGUCUGAUUAGGUAGUUGGUGGGGUAACGGCCUACCAAGCCAACGAUCAGUAGCCGACCUGAGAGGGUGACCGGCCACAUUGGGACUGAGACACGGCCCAAACUCCUACGGGAGGCAGCAGUGGGGAAUAUUGCACAAUGGGGGAAACCCUGAUGCAGCGACGCCGCGUGAGCGAAGAAGUAUUUCGGUAUGUAAAGCUCUAUCAGCAGGGAAGAAAAUGACGGUACCUGACUAAGAAGCACCGGCUAAAUACGUGCCAGCAGCCGCGGUAAUACGUAUGGUGCAAGCGUUAUCCGGAUUUACUGGGUGUAAAGGGAGCGUAGACGGCUGUGUAAGUCUGAAGUGAAAGCCCGGGGCUCAACCCCGGGACUGCUUUGGAAACUAUGCAGCUAGAGUGUCGGAGAGGUAAGUGGAAUUCCCAGUGUAGCGGUGAAAUGCGUAGAUAUUGGGAGGAACACCAGUGGCGAAGGCGGCUUACUGGACGAUGACUGACGUUGAGGCUCGAAAGCGCGGGGAGCAAACAGGAUUAGAUACCCUGGUAGUCCACGCCGUAAACGAUGACUACUAGGUGUCGGGGAGCAAAGCUCUUCGGUGCCGCAGCAAACGCAAUAAGUAGUCCACCUGGGGAGUACGUUCGCAAGAA
rnacentral:rRNA from 1 species